UACGGGGGGGGCAAGCGUUGUUCGGAAUUACUGGGCGUAAAGGGCUCGUAGGCGGCCAACUAAGUCGGAUGUGAAAUCCCCAGGCUUAACCUGGGAACUGCAUCCGAUACUGGAUGGCUUGAAUCCGGGAGAGGGAUGCAGAAUUCCAGGUGUAGCGGUGAAAUGCGUAGAUAUCGGGAAGAACACCCGUGGCGAAGGCGGUUCUCUGGGACGGUACUGACGCUGAGACGCGAAAGCGUGGGGAGCGAACAGG
rnacentral:rRNA from 1 species